rnacentral:rRNA from 1 species
GAUGAACGCUAGCGGCAGGCUUAACACAUGCAAGUCGAGGGGUAUAGUAGCAAUACUAGAGACCGGCGCACGGGUGCGUAACGCGUAUGCAAUCUACCUUUUACAGAGGGAUAGCCCAGAGAAAUUUGGAUUAAUACCUCAUAGUAUAUUUGAGUGGCAUCACUUGAUUAUUAAAGUUCCAACGGUAAAAGAUGAGCAUGCGUCCCAUUAGCUAGAUGGUAAGGUAACGGCUUACCAUGGCUACGAUGGGUAGGGGUCCUGAGAGGGAGAUCCCCCACACUGGUACUGAGACACGGACCAGACUCCUACGGGAGGCAGCAGUGAGGAAUAUUGGACAAUGGGCGCAAGCCUGAUCCAGCCAUGCCGCGUGCAGGAAGAAGCAUCUAUGGUGUGUAAACUGCUUUUGUACAGGAAGAAACAACUCUACGUGUAGAGUCUUGACGGUACUGUAAGAAUAAGGAUCGGCUAACUCCGUGCC